GGGAUUACCUCCGAACGUAGAUCUCUAGUUUUAGUGUGAACUGCGAAUGGCUCAUUAUAUCAGUUAUAGUUUAUUUGGAUGAAUUUUUCUAUGGAUAACCGUAGUAAUUCUAGGGCUAAUACAUGUUAUAAUCUCUUUGAGAUUUUCUUAUUAGAAUAAAACCAAUUGUAUUAGUGAGUAAUAAUAAUAGAAUCGAUCGCAUGCUUUUGUAGCGAUAAUCCUUUCAAGUUUCUGCCCUAUCAGCUUUCGAUGGUAGUGUAUUGGACUACCAUGGCAGUAACGGGUAACGAAGAA
rnacentral:rRNA from 1 species